UACGGAGGGUGCGAGCGUUGUCCGGAAUCACUGGGCGUAAAGGGCUCGUAGGUGGCCAACUAAGUCAGACGUGAAAUCCCUCGGCUUAACCGGGGAACUGCGUCUGAUACUGGAUGGCUUGAGUUCGGGAGAGGGAUGCGGAAUUCCAGGUGUAGCGGUGAAAUGCGUAGAUAUCUGGAGGAACACCGGUGGCGAAGGCGGCAUCCUGGACCGACACUGACACUGAGGAGCGAAAGCGUGGGGAGCGAACAGG
rnacentral:rRNA from 1 species